GUAGGUGAACCUGCGGAAGGAUCAUUAAUACGUAUCCAACGUUAAACCCCCCCUGUGAACCUGCACCCAGCUCCUGGGACUGACAUCUAUCUAUAUCCAGGCGAGUUGGCAAGUGGAGGCUGAUCUUGGACAAGUAGUUUCUGAAAGCGAUACUAUUUGGAGAUACUGGCUACCUUCGCGUAGCUACCACUGGAGGCCGACACGGCCGGUGGCCAGGUCCUGGCUAAGGCCCCUCAUAUUAACCCCUUGA
rnacentral:misc_RNA from 1 species